GACGAACGCUGGCGGCGUGCUUAACACAUGCAAGUCGAGCGGUAAGGCCCCUUCGGGGGUACACGAGCGGCGAACGGGUGAGUAACACGUGGGUGACCUGCCCUCAGCUCUGGGAUAAGCCUGGGAAACUGGGUCUAAUACUGGAUAUGACUCCACGGUGCAUGUCGUGGGGUGGAAAGCCUUGUGCGGCUGAGGAUGGGCCCGCGGCCUAUCAGCUUGUGGUGGGGUGAUGGCCUACCAAGGCGACGACGGGUAGCCGGCCUGAGAGGGCGACCGGCCACACUGGGACUGAGACACGGCCCAGACUCCUACGGGAGGCAGCAGUGGGGAAUCUUGCGCAAUGGGCGAAAGCCUGACGCAGCGACGCCGCGUGAGGGAUGACGGCCU
rnacentral:rRNA from 1 species